AGACCCGAAACCCGGUGAUCUAGCCAUGGGCAGGUUGAAGGUUGGGUAACACUAACUGGAGGACCGAACCGACUAAUGUUGAAAAAUUAGCGGAUGACCUGUGGCUGGGGGUGAAAGGCCAAUCAAACCGGGAGAUAGCUGGUUCUCCCCGAAAGCUAUUUAGGUAGCGCCUCGUGAAUUCAUCUCCGGGGGUAGAGCACUGUUUCGGCUAGGGGGCCAUCCCGGCUUACCAACCCGAUGCAAACUGCGAAUACCGGAGAAUGUUAUCACGGGAGACACACGGCGGGUGCUAACGUCCGUCGUGAAGAGGGAAACAACCCAGACCGCCAGCUAAGGUCCCAAAGUCAUGGUUAAGUGGGAAACGAUGUGGGAAGGCCCAGACAGCCAGGAUGUUGGCUUAGAAGCAGCCAUCAUUUAAAGAAAGCGUAAUAGCUCACUGGUCGAGUCGGCCUGCGCGGAAGAUGUAACGGGGCUAAACCAUGCACCGAAGCUGCGGCAGCGACGCUUAUGCGUUGUUGGGUAGGGGAGCGUUCUGUAAGCCUGUGAAGGUGGCCUGUGAGGGUUGCUGGAGGUAUCAGAAGUGCGAAUGCUGACAUAAGUAACGAUAAAGCGGGUGAAAAGCCCGCUCGCCGGAAGACCAAGGGUUCCUGUCCAACGUUAAUCGGGGCAGGGUGAGUCGACCCCUAAGGCGAGGCCGAAAGGCGUAGUCGAUGGGAAACGGGUUAAUAUUCCCGUACUUGGUGUUACUGCGAAGGGGGGACGGAGAAGGCUAUGUUGGCCGGGCGACGGUUGUCCCGGUUUAAGCGUGUAGGUGUGUGUUCCAGGUAAAUCCGGUUCACUUUAACACUGAGGCGUGACGACGAGGCACUACGGUGCUGAAGCAACAAAUGCCCUGCUUCCAGGAAAAGCCUCUAAGCAUCAGGUAACAUCAAAUCGUACCCCAAACCGACACAGGUGGUCAGGUAGAGAAUACCAAGGCGCUUGAGAGAACUCGGGUGAAGGAACUAGGCAAAAUGGUGCCGUAACUUCGGGAGAAGGCACGCUGACAUGUAGGUGAAGUGAUUUACUCAUGGAGCUGAAGUCAGUCGAAGAUACCAGCUGGCUGCAACUGUUUAUUAAAAACACAGCACUGUGCAAACACGAAAGUGGACGUAUACGGUGUGACGCCUGCCCGGUGCCGGAAGGUUAAUUGAUGGGGUCAGCGCAAGCGAAGCUCCUGAUCGAAGCCCCGGUAAACGGCGGCCGUAACUAUAACGGUCCUAAGGUAGCGAAAUUCCUUGUCGGGUAAGUUCCGACCUGCACGAAUGGCGUAAUGAUGGCCAGGCUGUCUCCACCCGAGACUCAGUGAAAUUGAACUCGCUGUGAAGAUGCAGUGUACCCGCGGCAAGACGGAAAGACCCCGUGAACCUUUACUAUAGCUUGACACUGAACAUUGAGCCUUGAUGUGUAGGAUAGGUGGGAGGCUUUGAAGUGUGGACGCCAGUCUGC
rnacentral:rRNA from 1 species